AUAAAUUCCAUGCUUAUAAAAAAGGGAUAAUAAAAGUGCUAUUUUAAGAGGGUUUCAUGAAGAUUAAGAAUGUUGCGAGCCCUCUGUGAGGAUGGGCUUAUUUAAAAAUAUUAAGCAUCACAACAACUGCCCAGACACGGAAGACACAUGUUAACUACAUCAGUUAUCCCUCCACCUUUCCCCAGCUACAGAUGGGAAGUAGAUACUUAUCUUGUUUAAGCCACAU
rnacentral:lncRNA from 1 species